rnacentral:rRNA from 1 species
UACAGAGGUCUCAAGCGUUUGUUCGGAUUCAUUGGGCGUAAAGGGUGCGUAGGCGGCGCGGUAAGUCGGGUGUGAAAUCUUGGAGCUUAACUCCGAAACUGCAUUCGAUACUGCCGUGCUUGAGGACUGGAGAGGAGACUGGAAUUUACGGUGUAGCGGUGAAAUGCGUAGAUAUCGUAAGGAAGACCAGUGGCGAAGGCGGGUCUCUGGACAGUUCCUGACACUGAGGCACGAAGGCCAGGGGGAGCAAACGGGG